rnacentral:rRNA from 1 species
ACGCCUAAUACAUGCAAGUCGAACGAGGUAGCAAUACCUAGUGGCAGACGGGUGAGUAACAUGUGGGUACCUUCCCUUUGGUGAGGAAUAACACGAGGAAACUUGUGCUAAUACCUCAUAAGUCUUUACGGAGAAAGCUUUAUGCGCCGAUGGAUGGGCCCGCACUUGAUUAGUUAGUUGGUAGGGUAAUGGCCUACCAAGACUUUGAUCAAUAGCUGAUUUGAGAGGAUGAUCAGCCACAUUGGGACUGAGACACGGCCCAAACUCCUACGGGAGGCAGCAGUAGGGAAUCUUGCACAAUGGAGGAAACUCUGAUGCAGCGAUGCCGCGUGAGUGAAGAAGGCCCUUGGGUUGUAAAGCUCUUUCGUCGGGGAAGAAAAUGACUGUACCCGAAUAAGAAGGUCCGGCUAACUUCGUGCCAGCAGCCGCGGUAAUACGAAGGGACCUAGCGUAGUUCGGAAUUACUGGGCUUAAAGAGUUCGUAGGUGGUUAAAAAAGUUGGUGGUGAAAUCCCAGAGCUUAACUCUGGAACUGCCAUCAAAACUUUUUAGCUAGAGUAUGAUAGAGGAAAGCAGAAUUUCUAGUGUAGAGGUGAAAUUCGUAGAUAUUAGAAAGAAUACCGAUUGCGAAGGCAGCUUUCUGGAUCAUAACUGACACUGAGGAACGAAAGCAUGGGUAGCGAAGAGGAUUAGAUACCCUCGUAGUCCAUGCUGUAAACGAUGUGUGUUAGAUGUUGGAAAUUUAUUUUCAGUAUCGCAGCGAAAGCGUUAAACACACCGCCUGGGGAG